rnacentral:lncRNA from 1 species
CAUUGAUUAGGUUUUGAUUUAGGAUAGAUUAAGGAUUAGAGAUAGAGCUUUAUAUAGGAGAAGGAUCAAGAGGAGGUGGAAAGAAACACUCAAGAAUGGCUUUAUGAUUAUCAUUGAUUGAGAAAGUUACGGAAAAAGAAAUUCAUGACAUCGGAGAAGAUGAAGCGGAAGAGUCGGAGGAGGAGAUACAUUCGAAAGCGUGAAACUAAACAGGUUUGUCUACCUGGACUGCUGUGGGCCGACUAAUAAUCAUAAUUUUAAUAGAGGCCAUACGAAAUUCCAGUCAUGGUGACCUGUCAAAAUAAAGUCUUCCUAUUGGUCGAUUUUCCAUGCAUACGUGGACGCGUUUAGAGGGUUUGAUAUGUUCCUUUUAGUAUUGUUAGAUUAGAGAUAGAGCUUUAUAUAGGAGAAGGAUCAAGAGGAGGUGGAAAGAAACACUCAAGAAUGGCUUUAUGAUUAUCAUUGAUUGAGAAAGUUACGGAAAAAGAAAUUCAUGACAUCGGAGAAGAUGAAGCGGAAGAGUCGGAGGAGGAGAUACAUUCGAAAGCGUGAAACUAAACAGGUUUGUC